rfam:Eutrema salsugineum unplaced genomic scaffold scaffold_3, whole genome shotgun sequence.
UCGCAGGAGCCUCCCGGGCUAAUCUGAUAAUAAUUCUUGAGGAAUUAAGCCCCAAAGCUCCUGCUAGAUUUAAUGCCAUUCGUGUUGCAGUUCUGUCUCAAAUUUUGUCUGGCUUAACUGUGUCUAAGCAAUGUCUAGAUUU